UCGAGCGAGCGGAACCACAGAUUUACUUCGGUAAUGACGUUGGGAAAGCGAGCGGCGGAUGGGUGAGUAACACGUGGGGAACCUGCCCCUAAGUCUGGGAUACCAUUUGGAAACAGGUGCUAAUACCGGAUAAUAAAGCAGAUCGCAUGAUCAGCUUUUGAAAGGCGGCGUAAGCUGUCGCUAAGGGAUGGCCCCGCGGUGCAUUAGCUAGUUGGUAAGGUAACGGCUUACCAAGGCGACGAUGCAUAGCCGAGUUGAGAGACUGAUCGGCCACAUUGGGACUGAGACACGGCCCAAACUCCUACGGGAGGCAGCAGUAGGGAAUCUUCCACAAUGGACGCAAGUCUGAUGGAGCAACGCCGCGUGAGUGAAGAAGGUUUUCGGAUCGUAAAGCUCUGUUGUUGGUGAAGAAGGAUAGAGGUAGUAACUGGCCUUUAUUUGACGGUAAUCAACCAGAAAGUCACGGCUAACUACGUGCCAGCAGCCGCGGUAAUACGUAGGUGGCAAGCGUUGUCCGGAUUUAUUGGGCGUAAAGCGAGCGCAGGCGGAAAAAUAAGUCUAAUGUGAAAGCCCUCGGCUUAACCGAGGAACUGCAUCGGAAACUGUUUUUCUUGAGUGCAGAAGAGGAGAGUGGAACUCCAUGUGUAGCGGUGGAAUGCGUAGAUAUAUGGAAGAACACCAGUGGCGAAGGCGGCUCUCUGGUCUGCAACUGACGCUGAGGCUCGAAAGCAUGGGUAGCGAACAGGAUUAGAUACCCUGGUAGUCCAUGCCGUAAACGAUGAGUGCUAAGUGUUGGGAGGUUUCCGCCUCUCAGUGCUGCAGCUAACGCAUUAAGCACUCCGCCUGGGGAGUACGACCGCAA
rnacentral:rRNA from 1 species